rnacentral:rRNA from 1 species
GAGUUUGAUCGUGGCUCAGAUUGAACGCUGGCGGCAUGCCUUACACAUGCAAGUCGAACGGCAGCAUGAUCUAGCUUGCUAGAUUGAUGGCGAGUGGCGAACGGGUGAGUAAUACAUCGGAACGUGCCCUGUAGUGGGGGAUAACUAGUCGAAAGAUUAGCUACUACCGCAUACGACCUGAGGGUGAAAGUGGGGGACCGCAAGGCCUCAUGCUAUAGGAGCGGCCGAUGUCUGAUUAGCUAGUUGGUGGGGUAAAGGCCCACCAAGGCGACGAUCAGUAGCUGGUCUGAGAGGACGAUCAGCCACACUGGGACUGAGACACGGCCCAGACUCCUACGGGAGGCGAGCAGUGGGGAAUUUUGGACAAUGGGCGAAAGCCUGAUCCAGCAAUGCCGCGUGUGUGAAGAAGGCCUGGUG